rnacentral:tRNA from 1 species
GUUGGAGUGGCAGAGCCCGGAGAAUUGCGAAAGGCCUAAGCCCUUUCUACAGAGGUUCAAAUCCUCUCCCCAACU